rnacentral:rRNA from 1 species
GACGAACGCUGGCGGCGUGCUUAACACAUGCAAGUCGAACGAUGAAGCCGGAGCUUGCUCUGGUGAAUUAGUGGCGAACGGGUGAGUAACACGUGAGUAACCUGCCCUUGACUCUGGGAUAACUGCGGGAAACUGUAGCUAAUACCGGAUACGACCCUCGGAGGCAUCUCCUGGGGGUGGAAAGAAUUUCGGUCAAGGAUGGACUCGCGGCCUAUCAGCUAGUUGGUGAGGUAACGGCACACCAAGUCGACGACGGGUAGCCGGCCUGAGAGGGUGACCGGCGACACUGGGGCUGAGACACGGCCCAGAAUCCUACGGGAGGAAGCAGUGGGAAUAUUGCACAAUGGGCGCAAGCCUGAUGCAGCAACGCCGCGUGAGGGAUGACGGCCUUCGGGUUGUAAACCUCUUUUAGCAGGGAAGAAGCGAAAGUGACGGUACCUGCAGAAAAAGCACCGGCUAACUACGUGCCAGCCGCCGCCGUAA